rnacentral:ncRNA from 2 species
AAUAAUCACUAGGGGAGCUGGAUAAUGGCCAGCUGAGAAAAAGAUCCUUUAAUCUUUGACCCUUUAACCUGAUCUGGGUAAUACCAGCGUAGGAAAGUGUACGAUAUAUUAA